AUGAAGAAAGUGAGUCCUGCAAAUCACCGCAUACCUCUAAGUGAUGGAAACAGCAUUCCCAUCAUCAGACUUGGUACCUACUCAGAGCCUUCAGUGAAGGUUGUCAUUGGUCUGGGGUGCUGACACACUGAUGAAGCCUACAUAUACCAAAAUGAAGACACAGCUGGGGAGGCCAUCAGGGGGAAAAUAGCAGAAGGAAAGGUGCAGAGGAAGGAUAUCUUCUACUGUGGAAAACUGUGGGCUACAAAUCACAACCCAGAGCUGGUCUGCCCGAGCCUAGAGAGGAUGCUCAAGGUCCUCCAGCUAGAUUGUGUGGAUCUUUACAUCACUGAAAUACCCAUGGCCGCUAAGCCAGAAGACAAAAUCUACCCUAUAGGUGAGAAUGGCAAAUGGUUAUAUCACAAGUCAAAUCUGUGUGCCACUUGGGAGACUUCGGAAGCUUGUAAAGAUGCUGGCUUGGUGAAAUCCCUCGGAGUAUCCAGUUUUAACAGCAGGCCAGCUGGAGCUCAUCCAGAACAACCCAGGACUCAAACCCAAGCCAGUCAGCAACGAGGUUGAGUGCCACCCAUAUUACACCCAACCAAAACUUUUGAAAUUUCGCCAACAACAUGACAUUGUCAUGAUUGCAUAUAGCCCUUUGGGGACCACUAGGAAUCCAACCUGGACAAAUAUGUCUUCUCUGCCUUCGUUAAAGGAUGCACUUCUAAAAAGGUGCAAUAAGAUCACAGCUCAAGUUAUUUUGCGUUUCAACAUCCAGCAAGGGGUGGUUGUCAUUCCUAAAAGCUUUAAUCCUGAAAAGAUCAAGGAAAACCUUCAGGCCUUUGACUUUUCUCUCACUGAAUCAAGGACAUUGAAGCCUGGAGUGAAAAUGUCCGCUUCAUAGAAAUGCUCAUGUGGUGUGAUCAUCCCAAAUACCCAUUUCUUGAUGAAUACUGA
rnacentral:lncRNA from 1 species